rnacentral:rRNA from 11 species
UAAGUCCCGCAACGAGCGCAACCCCUACUGUUAGUUGCCAGCAUAUAAUGAUGGGGACUCUAACAGGACUGCCUGCGCAAGCAGAGAGGAAGGAGGGGACGACGUCAAGUCAUCAUGGCCCUUACGCCCAGGGCUACACACGUGCUACAAUGGAGGGUACAGAGGGUCGCUACCUGGUAACAGGAUGCCAAUCUCAAAAAGCCCUUCUCAGUUCGGAUUGAGGUCUGCAACUCGACCUCAUGAAGUUGGAAUCGCUAGUAAU